UACUCGGCAGGUACAUAUAAAUGGAAGAUACCUAGCAGCCAGGUAGCUUUUCGAUUAUCAUUAUGACGGAGCCUGCAAGGAAAAGGAAGGGUUUGUCGGAGGAGGCGAAGAAAAGAAAACGGGAGCAUGAUAUAGAGAAAGAGCUCGAACUAGAGUGAAUAUUGGACCAGCUUCGUUGGCGAGAGCUGAAGGAGGCUACAAGAUGCAGUGCUGAUGGUGACUUGGCUUUGUUGCUGCUGGACUUGGAUGACUUCACAGUCCAAGAUGUACAACCGCUGGACACACAAGAAGUGAGUGUGUUAGAAGCCAGCAUGCACUCUAUGAGUAUUGCAGAGGAGGAGUGUGACUCCAGAUGAAGAAGCAAGGAACGAUUUGAGAAAUAGCAUCAUUGUCAUGGAUGAGCGGUGGACCAACCCAAGGUUCUGUGAAGAUGGGGACAGUUCUGAGGAAGAUGAUUUCCCCUUUCUUCAGAUACG